rnacentral:rRNA from 1 species
CGGGACGGGUGAGUAAUGUCUGGGGAAACUGCCUGAUGGAGGGGGAUAACUACUGGAAACGGUAGCUAAUACCGCAUAACGUCGCAAGACCAAAGAGGGGGACCUUCGGGCCUCUUGCCAUCGGAUGUGCCCAGAUGGGAUUAGCUAGUAGGUGGGGUAACGGCUCACCUAGGCGACGAUCCCUAGCUGGUCUGAGAGGAUGACCAGCCACACUGGAACUGAGACACGGUCCAG